CCUACGGGAGGCUGCAGUGAGGAAUAUUGGUCAAUGGGCGCGAGCCUGAACCAGCCAAGUCGCGUGAAGGAAGAAGGUUCUAUGGAUUGUAAACUUCUUUUGUAAGGGAAUAAAGUACGGCACGUGUGCUGUUUUGUAUGUACCUUACGAAUAAGGAUCGGCUAACUCCGUGCCAGCAGCCGCGGUAAUACGGAGGAUCCAAGCGUUAUCCGGAUUUAUUGGGUUUAAAGGGUGCGUAGGUGGAUUGAUAAGUCAGCGGUGAAAGUUUGCAGCUUAACUGUAAAAUUGCCGUUGAAACUGUCAGUCUUGAGUGCAAAUGAGGUAGGCGGAAUGUGUUGUGUAGCGGUGAAAUGCUUAGAUAUAACACAGAACUCCAAUUGCGAAGGCAGCUUACUGGGAUGCAACUGACACUGAUGCACGAAAGCGUGGGGAUCAAACAGGAUUAGAUACCCCAGUAGUC
rnacentral:rRNA from 1 species